GGCCGGGCCUAGCUGUCAUUCCACCUGCCGGCCUGCAGGUGGCGGUAUUCCCCAGGCUGAGAGGAUCACCGCUCCUGGUUCAUUUUAAACGGCUUCAACGAAACAUCUACCGCAAAACUAACUGCUCAGUUUAAUAAAAGGAAAAUAGAUCAAGAUGAAAGCGGGAAGUUUUUCGUUGAGUAACGAAGAAACGAAUAUUUUAGGAGGAAGUUCAGAUCCAGAAGUUUUUCUGCUUUAGUCUGUUUUUUUUUCUUCUCAUGCAGGAAUCACGCUGUUUGCUUCGUUUUCGUUAAAAACUGCAAAGCAACCAGUGAUUAUGCAAUGCUUCCUGACUGAAAGAUGCAUUCAAUGAUGGCUGAAUGCCGCCGGAGGAACUUCCUGUUUCCAUGAUGUCAGCGCAGGAAGCCAGAGGCACCUGCCUGUCAGGUCUGACAGGCUGACUCCAGCUGAGCAAAUCAAACCUGGUGGGAUUAGAUCCUCCUGGCAGUGUUGAGUAAGGGUAGGACAUUAGCGUCAGCUAACAUAGCCCUUCUGCAGCUAAAGGAGGCAGAUCUAGAAUAUCACUUUCUACUGCUGUUUAUUGGCUCUGUGAGAAAUGGAGGAACAGGAGUGGCUCAGAGUCUUCCUGUUUAAAAGAAAUUCAUGUGGUGACAUCGCUUUGAUGAAAGGACUGGAGAACGGUCUGCAG